CCGGGCGGCUCUCCGUGUCGCGUGAGCGGCCUUUUCUCUUUGCUCUGCAUGGCCGCCAGCGGGACGCGUGGCUCCGGGUGUUCGCUGUGCGGGAGGAACCUUGGGCUCUCCAGACAGCAAAAACCUGCACGGAGGGGGCGGCUAGUGGAGCAGACGCCGCCGGAUGGAGUGCGCCGACUGCACAGCCACGGCCCCGCCGGAGACCCGGGCGUGCCGGCGAGGCUUCCUGGCGCUGCCGCCGCUUCCUUGGUCGCCCAGCGGCGUCAUUACGCGGCUUCUCCCAGCAGCGGUGGCAGUAGUUGCGGCGUUGGAGAGCAGCCCUGCGGGGUUCCUGAAACCCUCCUGGAUAUCUGUCAGAGAAGGCAUUUCCUCAGGGCACCGGCGGAGGGGGGGCAGCGGCUCAGCUGGGACGCCUUCCGGGAGGGAGCCCAGCCGGGCUUCGGGCCUCUCGGGGCGAGCUUGCGGAAGAACCUGGCCGCGCAGUGGUGGGAGUCCGUGGUCCUGUUCAGGGAGCAGGUGCUGGGAGUGGAAGCCCCGCUGCAUCGCCCUGCACACGCGGGCGGCGCGCCUCCGGGCGAUGCCCUCCGCGUGGUGCACCCGCGAGCCCUCCGCGAAGCCCUGGAGGGCGGCGAGUUGAGCGGGCAGCAGGCGCCCGCGUUCCUGCAGAAGACUGGGGUGCUUCGGGACAGUCUUCUGCACGGUGCCUUGGAACAUUAUGUUGAAUGCCUGGAAUUGGUUAACAAGAGAUUGCCAUUUGGGAUCGCUCAGAUAGGAGUAUGUUUCCAUUCAGUAACAAAAAAUGAAAAGGAGAAUUACAUAAGCACAGGUGAAAAGACAUUGGCCUCCUUAGUAUGGUACAGCGCUGCCAGAACUGCUGGACAAUGGCUUGACUAUUGGCUACGCCAUCGGCUACAGUGGUGGAGAAAGUUUGCAAUAAGCCCAUCCAACUUCAGCAGUGGGGAUUAUCAUGAAGAAGGAAGAAGAAGAAUCAAUUUGUAUUACAGCUUUCCUUGGGGAAAGGAAAUAAUCGAAACUUUGUGGAUGCUAGGAGAUAAUGAACUGCUACAGAUGUAUCCAGGAAAUGAAUCUAGCUUGCAUGGUCGAGAUGGGAGGAAAAAUGUUGUUCCUCAUAUCCUGUCUGUGAGUAGCGAUCUGGACAGUGGAGUGUUAGCCUAUCUCUGUGAUGGCAUGCAGUUGGCUGAAAAUGCCUCAGCAAGGAAGAAAGUUUUUCAGAGAAAGGUACUUAAGCUUCACCCAUGCUUGACACCAUUCAAAGUAUCUUUGGAUCUGGGAAAGGGCCCCACAACAGAGUUGAGACAGGUGAGGUGUGCCAGGAAUUGUACAAGGAGUUGUUAGAAAAUGGAAUUUCUGUUUGGCCUGGAUAUCUUGACACCAUGCAGUCAUCAAUGGAGGAGUUGUAUGCAAAGUAUGAUGAAAUGAGUGUUCUUUUCACAGUCAUGUUCACUGACACGACGCUAGAGAACGGUGUGAUCCAGCUGAGAAGCAGGGACACCAGCAUGAAAGAAAUGAUGCACAUAUCUCGAUUAAAGGACUUUUUAACAAAGUAUAUUUCAGCAGCUAAAAAUGUCUGAUAUAAAGUCAAUAAAGACAAUUUUUUAAAUCUUC